rnacentral:rRNA from 1 species
AUUGAACGCUGGCGGCAGGCCUAACACAUGCAAGUCGAGCGAGCGGCGGACGGGUGAGUAAUGUAUGGGGAUCUGCCCGAUGGAGGGGGAUAACUACUGGAAACGGUAGCUAAUACCGCAUACCAUCAGAUGUACCCAUAGGGGAUUAGCUUGUAGGUGAGGUAACGGCUCACCUAGGCGACGAUCCCUAGCUGGUCUGAGAGGAUGAUCAGCCACACUGGAACUGAGACACGGCCCAGACUCCUACGUGAGGCAGCAGUGGGGAAUAUUGCACAAUGGGCGCAAGCCUGAUGCAGCCAUGCCGCGUGUAUGAAGAAGGCCUUCGGGUUGUAAAGCACUUUCAGCCGGGAGGCGUUACCGGCAGAAGAAGCACCGGCUAACUCCGUGCCAGCAGCCGCGGUAAUAC